rnacentral:rRNA from 1 species
CAGUCGCCGCGGGAAUACGAAGGGGGCUAGCGUUGUUCGGAAUUACUGGGCGUAAAGCGCACGUAGGCGGAUAUUUAAGUCAGGGGUGAAAUCCCAGAGCUCAACUCUGGAACUGCCUUUGAUACUGGGUAUCUUGAGUAUGGAAGAGGUAAGUGGAAUUCCGAGUGUAGAGGUGAAAUUCGUAGAUAUUCGGAGGAACACCAGUGGCGAAGGCGGCUUACUGGUCCAUUACUGACGCUGAGGUGCGAAAGCGUGGGGAGCAAACAGGAUUAGAUACCCCUGUAGUCCCUGUCUCUUAUAC